CCAAUUGGCGGCGCAUGCUCGGGGGCUUAGGCCCGCCGGUUUCCUUUGUGACCGGUCUGCAAACCGAGUGUGUGCCGCCAUUUUU
rnacentral:antisense_RNA from 1 species